rnacentral:rRNA from 1 species
CGGCGGACGGGUGAGUAAUGCUUAGGAAUCUGCCUAUUAGUGGGGGACAACGUUCCGAAAGGGACGCUAAUACCGCAUACGUCCUACGGGAGAAAGCAGGGGAUCUUCGGACCUUGCGCUAAUAGAUGAGCCUAAGUCGGAUUAGCUAGUUGGUGGGGUAAAGGCCUACCAAGGCGACGAUCUGUAGCGGGUCUGAGAGGAUGAUCCGCCACACUGGGACUGAGACACGGCCCAGACUCCUACGGGAGGCAGCAGUGGGGAAUAUUGGACAAUGGGGGGAACCCCUGAUCCAGCCAUGCCGCGUGUGUGAAGAAGGCCUUUUGGUUGUAAAGCACUUUAAGUGGGGAGGAGGCUUACCUGGUUAAUACCUGGGAUAAGUGGACGUUACCCACAGAAUAAGCACCGGCUAACUCUGUGCCAGCAGCCGCGGUAAUACAGAGGGUGCGAGCGUUAAUCGGAUUUACUGGGCGUAAAGCGCGCGUAGGUGGUUAAUUAAGUCAAAUGUGAAAUCCCCGAGCUUAACUUGGGAAUUGCAUUCGAUACUGGUUAGCUAGAGUAUGGGAGAGGAUGGUAGAAUUCCAGGUGUAGCGGUGAAAUGCGUAGAGAUCUGGAGGAAUACCGAUGGCGAAGGCAGCCAUCUGGCCUAAUACUGACACUGAGGUGCGAAAGCAUGGGGAGCAAACAGGAUUAGAUACCCUGGUAGUCCAUGCCGUAAACGAUGUCUACUAGCCGUUGGGGGAUUGAUCCUUUAGUGGCGCA